CUAAAUCCAUUGGUCAAGCCAGAAGUGAAGUUGAUCGAGUUGAAUCCAAAUCCGACCAUGGUUUCUCUCUCUUAAGCCGUCUCGGCCGAACCGGCGAUCGUUCUGAUGAACUGAUCCGACACUUCGAUCAGUUCAUGAACUUUGAUCAACCAAAUCUCUCUAAGGCAAGACUCUUGAGGUUGUCCGAAGACUUAGCCACCUUUUGGCCCGGAACAGUUCAUGAAAAUCACCCGUCCGUACAUGAAGAACGAACCGGCCGUGUACUUCUUCUUACCGCGGGACGCGCUAUCAGUUACACCGAACCUGGACAAGAGUAGCCGAAGAGUUCAAAUCGACCAGUCAACAUUAUUUUCUGUGCUUUGACUAGAUCUGGUCUUCUAUCUAUUUUCUAUGUCUAUUUUUCAUACAUUCUACUUAUUAUCUUUGACUACAAGUUGUAUAAGUAUGAGAACACAUCUUUGAGAUGAAAUAAUCGAUUUUCCUUAUUCAUUUUUGAGUGUUCUUUCUUUGUUCUUUGAUUAGAACAUUCUUGUUCCCUUGGUGAGGCUAUCUCCAAGUGAAUCCCCUUUCUUUGAGCCGGACAUGUGUGUCAAAUCAAGCGGCCAUUGAGAGUUCUAGUAGUAUCAUUGGGCCUUCCGCAUCCCUUUGUGUCACUAAACAAUCCAUCAGUUCUCUAUCUCUUCAGAUCGAGUUCAUAUCUUCAGAUCCAGUUGAGUGUUCGUUCCUUAGGGGUCUUCAAGUGGUAUCAGAGCCACUCUCCCGGUAUCUCUUUUCAUUCCAUCUUUCUCAUCUAUCAUUUUCUUCAUUAAAAAAAAAAAAAAUUCUUCUUCUAUCUAUCUUUGGAUCCGGGCCCCUCUUUACCAUCCAUAUAUAUAUAAAAAAAAAGAAAGAUCUAAUCAAAAAAAAAAAGAAAGAAAAGAUAUCAAAAGUUUUCAAUUGUGGUUUGGUGGUAGAAGAGUAAUCCUGCUGGCCGAGGAGAAAUCCGGUCUUGGAGGUGGUUAAUACGGAUUCCCCUUGUUAAAUCUCUUAUCUUUCUAUCUUGUCUCUUGGGUGUUUCACUUGGGAUUCUCAUUUUGGGAUAUCUAGUUUGUUCUCUUAGAACUUUGAGGGAAACUCUCUUGAGUGACUACCAAAUUGAGUGAAACACGUGUGUGGGCAAGGACAAACAACUGAGUGUGAGAGGGUUUUAAUCUAACUUUACCUUGUCUAAGUUUUCAGGUAGCCAUGGAUAGUGAAGAAGAAAGAAACCGACCCGGAAACUCAUAUGCCGGACUAUCUAACUUGCAAAUGCGUGCUCUCAAUGAUUCUAUGUCUAACUUGUUGAAUACAGGUUUGGAGGCGAUCCAUCAGAGGCUUGAUGAACUUCAGGGCCGUCCAACUCAGUCACGUACCAGAACCAGACGUGACCAUCCAAGGAGGAACAGCCGGUCCGACCUAGAAAUCCGAGAAGAGUCUUAUGAUGAUGAUCGAUCCAUCAACCGUCCAAGGAGAGUUCCUAGGCAUCAAAACCGAGGUGAUGUCAAUCCUUUUGGUAGAAAUGAAAGAACCAAUGAUGGCUUGAGUGGUUUGAAAUUGAAAAUUC
rnacentral:lncRNA from 1 species